rnacentral:rRNA from 1 species
UACGUAGGGGGCAAGCGUUGUCCGGAAUUACUGGGCGUAAAGGGCGCGUAGGCGGCCGCCUAAGUCAGACGUGAAAUCCCUCGGCUCAACCGGGGAACUGCGUCUGAUACUGGGUGGCUUGAAUCCGGGAGAGGGAUGCGGAAUUCCAGGUGUAGCGGUGAAAUGCGUAGAUAUCUGGAGGAACACCGGUGGCGAAGGCGGCAUCCUGGACCGGCAUUGACGCUGAGGCGCGAAAGCCAGGGGAGCAAACGGG